AGGAUUAACGCUGGCGGCGUGCAUGAGACAUGCAAGUCGAACGGACACUCGGGGCUUGCUCUGAGUGUUAGUGGCGGACGGCUGAGUAACGCGUAGGUGACCUGCCCCGAAGUGGGGAAUAACUGCCCGAAAGGGUGGCUAAUACCGCAUGUGGUGAUGCGUUCAUUCGCAUCAGUAAAGCCGCAAGGCGCUUCGGGAGGGGCCUGCGUCCGAUUAGCUCGUUGGUGAGGUAACGGCUCACCAAAGGCGACGAUCGGUAGGUGGUCUGAGAGGACGAUCACCCAGACUGGGACUGAGACACGGCCCAAACUCCUACGGGAGCAGCAGUGGGAAUCUGCGCAAUGGGCAAAGCCUGACGCAGCCAU
rnacentral:rRNA from 1 species